rnacentral:rRNA from 1 species
UACGUAGGGGGCGAGCGUUGUCCGGAUUUAUUGGGCGUAAAAGGCUUGUAGGUGGCCAUGCGAAGUCGGAUGUGAAAUCCCUCGGCUCAACUGAGGAACUGCCUUUGAAACUGCCUGGCUUGAGGCCGGGAGGGGGUAGCGGAAUUCCCAGUGUAGCGGUGAAAUGCGUAGAUAUUGGGAGGAACACCAGUGGCGAAGGCGGCUACCUGGACCGGUUCUGACGCUGAUGCGCGAAAGCGUGGGUAGCAAACAGG